rnacentral:rRNA from 1 species
UACGAAGGGGGCUAGCGUUGUUCGGAAUUACUGGGCGUAAAGCGCGCGCAGGCGGUUCUUUAAGUCAGGGGUGAAAGCCCAGAGCUCAACUCCGGAAUUGCCUUUGAAACUAGAGAACUUGGGUACGGGAGAGGUGAGUGGAAUUCCGAGUGUAGAGGUGAAAUUCGUAGAUAUUCGGAAGAACACCAGUGGCGAAGGCGGCUCACUGGCCCGACACUGACGCUGAGGCGCGAAAGCUAGGGGAGCAAACGGG